rfam:Cajanus cajan CcLG09_500, whole genome shotgun sequence.
CAUCACCUGUCACACUACGGGGGUUGGCCAUGCCUAAAAUCACUACCUUAACCACAAGGAAGGUGAUGUCAAAAGCAAGGCUAGUAACUAGAGUGAAGUCGAAACAAGGUAGGUGUACCGGAAGGUGCGAUUG